CAGUAGCGUAUAUUAAAGUUGUUGCAGUUAAAAAGCUCGUAGUUGGAUUUCUGGUACGCUGCGCCUGGCCCGCCCACGUUAGUGGUGUGAGUGUCGGUGCGCGGUUGCCAUCCUUCUAGAGAACGUGUCUACCUUUAAUUAGGCCGGGCUACGGGAUCUAGAUCAUUUACUUUGAAAAAUUAUAGUGUUUAAAGCAGGCUUUUUGCUAUGAAUACAUUAGCAUGGAAUAAUAAUAUAGGACUUUGGUUCUAUUUUGUUGGUUUCUAGGACUAAAAGUAAUGAUUGAUAGGGAUAGUUGGGGGUGCUAGUAUUCAGCGGCCAGAGGUGAAAUUCUUGGAUUCGCUGAAGACUAACUUAGCGAAAGCAAUUCACCAAGGAUGUCUUCUUUAAUCAAGAACGAAAAGUUGGGGGAGUCGAAGACGAUUAGA
rnacentral:rRNA from 1 species